GAAAUAAUAACAAAUUAAAGCUUCUAACUUUAAAUCUAAGCGUAUAAUCGUUUAUAUUUCU
rnacentral:tRNA from 1 species